UCCACAUCGCCACUUCCUGACCCGGCCCCAUCCCCUUUAGAAAGAAAUAGGGAAAGAAAAAGGAAAAAGAAAUGGGAAAGAAACGCAAAACAGAGAGGGACAGAAAAGAGUGAGGGCUGCGACGGGGGAAGAGGGAAGAAGAGAGGAAAAGCCGCGCCGCCGCCACGGUUCCGAGGAGCUGCUGCGCGAGGAGCCCUGGUCCGUUCACGAGCCGCUGUCAUGCACGAGAAGAGGAGAGAGAUUGGGCAGAGAGAGAGACGUGAGGAUGAAGAAGGGAUUCGCGUUGCCAGCUGUGCCGCCACCGCCGCGGAGGGUCGCCGUCGUCGUGCUGGUCUCUAAGACUAUCCACGUCGCCGUUGCCUUGAGCCAGUCGAUGGUGAGGCCGUCGCUAUCGCUGAAAGGGGGAUUUGUAAAGGGAACCGCGACGGGAAGAAGAGGAAGCUACCUCUAUCGCUGCCGUGGAAAACCACGAGCCCGCCGCCAUCAUCGUUGUGAGUGGUGUCACUGUUCUAUGCCGCCGCGUCCUACCACCGCUGCUGUUGAACCACCGUCACUAUGAGGAAUAGAACACGCAAAUAGGAUAGAGAAUAGGAAGCCUGGUGGGAGCUCCAUCACUGCCCAGCCAUUGCCGUCGCUGUGGGUUGUGUUGCCGAGCUUCUGUCAUCGGGAUCCACUGUUGUUGUGUCGUUGUGUCUCAAGUCAUCGAAAAUCCACCACCGGAGCUUCUGGUAACCGCCGUCACUAGAGAUAGCUACCGCCUGAUCGAUUCAGAUAGUCACUGCUACUUUGUUUCUUGUGAAAAGUGUUGUUGAUGUGAUUCUUGAUGCCACUGCUGUAAAUUGAAAAUAAACAAAAGAGGAUUUAAUGCGUUCACCUACUGAGCUCAGAUUAAAUUAAGGUAGGGAUUUUUCUUAAAAUCUAUUUUAUAUUACAGAGUUGUUAUAAAUAGAUAUUGAUAUAAAAAGAUAUAAUUUUGUCAUUAUAUUUGUUUUGUGAAUGUGAUGGUUUGUUAGACUGAAUCAUUGGUUGCUUGAUUGUGUGAGUGGUGUAUGGUUGUUGAUAAGAAAUUGAUUUGAAAUGUUACUUACUUGAUUAUUAUAAAAAGUGGAUUUCUUUGGUUUUGGAAUUUAUUUGGUAAUGUAAAUGAAUCUAUUUUUGAAAAAGAUUUGAGAUAUGAAAACAAAUUGAUUCUGGAAGUGGUUUGAUUUUGAGUUAGUCUAAUUUUAUAACUGAUUUAAUAUUUGAGUUGUUUGAUUUUAAAAAGAGUUUUAUUAUUGGAAUUGGUUCGAUUUGAAAAUAAUUUGAUAUUGGAACUAGUUGAAUUUUGGAAAAUGAUUGAGAUUUGAAAAUAGUUGAGAAAAAGUUUGAGAAAUGUUUGGAUGGGACUCGAAAAAGGUGGCAGAAUCCGAGUUUUAGAGGAGAUAUUGCCGAAAUUUUAUAAAAUUAGAAGUUUCGUUUGAAGUAGUUAUUUUAAAAGGUUUAAUUUUAAACAUUAUAUGGUUUAAGAUUACUUUAUUUAUCAAAGGAAGAGUUAUGUUUUGGAUUGGGAUUGUUAGUGAACGGAAUGGAAAGAAAGAUGAUGAGGAUUUUCUUUAAAAUACGAUUUUGAAUGAAUUUGGAAAUGAGAUAUGGAUUGAUGAAUGAUAAUGAUGUUAAGAAUGACUUAGACUUUGAUGAAUGUUGAGUGGGUUAUUCAUAUGGCUUAUGAAUUUGAAUUAUAUGAGACACAAGUUUCUUGGGUAAAGUACCGUGGCUUGCCACCAUGUGUACCAGGUUAAAACUCGAUACUCUGUUGACCCUACGGUGUAAGGGUGACCGAAAACUUAUAAAUUCCUGAGAAUGGUACCCCCAUAUAUAUAUAUAUAUAUAUAUAUAUAUAUAUAUAUAUAUAUAUAUAUGAGAAAAAGCUAUGCAUAGACUCAUGGGGAUGCGCGUGGGGGGACAGUCUAAGGUUUUUGGACUUGUCGAGUUGGCUGGAUAACCGACAGAUGAGCUAUUAGCCAUAGGGCAGGCAUGCAUCAUAUGCAUUUGUAUGCUUUGCUUGGGUUUGAACUUGUUUUGGUUUGCCUAAUUGUUAAAUUGUUCUUAACUGCUACCUGAACUAUUUGCUGUAACUGCUACCUAAACCUGUGCUUUCCUUGUCUGUCUUGCCUGUGUUUGUCUUGGUGUGAUAUAUUUGAGAAUGAACUUUGGUGCUGAAUUGAUAAUUGUGUUGAUUGAUUGCGUGGUUGGUUUCUGAUUGAAAAUUUCUUAUAAGAAAAGAAAGGUUUUUGGAUUUCUGAAAGAUUAAACAUUGUUUCUUUGAAAAGGUUUUGAACGAUUAGCUAUUAGUUUUUAAAAGGAUUCUUAAGGCAAUGAUAAUCACUGAGCUUGAAAAUAGUUUUCAUAUUAAAUAUCUUUUUAUGACAAUUCUUAAACUCCGUGGUGAGGCCGUGUGGUUAGGUUCUCACCCCCUAUAGCUUUAUCUUGUCGGGAGACGGGUGAAAAAGCUCACAAAGGGUUGUAUUGCGUUUCGCUUAGUCGAAAAUGCUGUUUAGUUUUUAUUUAUUUAUCCCUCGCCAUCAAAAUUAUAUUAUGUAAGAGGGAUAGGAGUUGUAUGAUUUGUAUGUAUAUAAUAUGUAUAAGUUACUUGAGUAGAAAGGUUUGUAUAUGUAUAUGUUUGUUGUUUGUUUUAUAUAAAAAGUAUUCUUUUUCCAGUUUUCAAAGGGAACAAGGAUAUGAUUUCGAGACAAAAGUUCAUAUUUUAUUAUUAAAUAUAUGAAGUCGUCGUAAUACUUUUUGCUAUCAGAGUAGCACAGCCAGAAGCGUGAAAUUUUGAUAGUGAGAGUGUUACAUAUGUUAGAACGGUUUAGUUUUAAGCAACUUAUUUAAGUUUAACGUUGUGUAUUUAACUUUUAU